GCAUCGGUGGCUUAGUGGUAGAAUGCUCGCCUGCCACGCUGGCGGCCCGGGUUCGAUUCCCGGCCGAUGCA
rnacentral:tRNA from 1 species